CCCCCCCCCCCAUCCUGUCUGUCACUGUCUCUUUCUGUCUUUUCCUUUCUCUCUCUUUCUCUGUGUGUGCAGUUCACACUCUUUAUAGGUCUCUGCUAAGUAUCUGUGUCUGGUUAGUUGUGUGUGAAUGGUGGGAUGUGUUAGUUUGUGUGUUUAGGGAUCGAUUUGUUUUGUUUGUGUGUCAAUGUGUUUAUGGCUAUGUUUGUAUUCUGGCAUUUGUAUUGGUAUCUAUGCUCAUUUGUAUGCCUAGAUGUGUUGUGAUGUAGAUAGCCGGGCUCUUACCCGUGUGUGCAGCAUCUGCCUGUUUACUUCUGUCAAAUCCCCACAUGUCUACUUCUUUGGAUGGGGCAAACCCUAAUCCACUCUGCUUUCACCACUUGCACCCCUGCUUUUCUGGCUUUAGGACUGGGUGCAGCUGAAUCCUUGAUAAAUUCUGAUGAAGCUUUCUUCAACUUUCACCAAUAGAAGGUUAAGUAAGGGUAUACAGAGAGAUCCCUUUCUCCCUUCCCCUCCAUUUUGCAGGCUCAUCCUUGGUCUCUGAUCUCUAAUCUCUCUCUAUCUAUUGACUCCAGCCCCGAUUCAUCCCCUAAAAAGGCUCCUUUUGGAAGAAAGGUGAAGGAUGGCCCUGUUUCGGAAGUAUAAGGACUGAGAUCUGAUGGGACACUAGAUACCUUGGCCAAAGGGACCUAACGACCCAAUGUUUACCUCUGGGGCCUCCAGCUCCAUGGGUUUCCCAGUGGAUGGGGGCAGAGAGAGAAGAUGGGAACCUCCAGGGAAUGAGGUGGGGUUGGCCAUUGGUGUCUAUCCCCUUCUAGACCUGGCUUAGCUGGGACAGAUAUGGACUCAGCUUUGCUCUGGGAUCAUGGCAGCAGAGAUAUGGACUCAGCUUUGCUCUGGGAUCAUGGCAGCAGAAUCUUUUUGAGACUUGCUUUGAACAACCAGGACCUGAUGUCCUCUUGGAGACAGCCAGUAUCCUGGAUCAUCACCUUGACCUUUGCCUUGCCACUGGACUUCAAUGAUCCCUGAGGAGAGAGUGAAGCUGAUGAUUUUGUACCUCUCUGCCCCACUCCAAUGAAGCCACAGCUCAAGACAUUACCCUAGUGACUGUCCUCUUCCAGAACGAAGGAUGAGCAACAAUUGUUUUUUAAGGUCUUUUCUGACUGAAACAUUCUAUGUGCUAAGGCUUUUCAUACUCUAAUAUUCCAUGUGCUAUUACUUUUUCAAAUUCUUACAUUCCAAGUUGUUUAUAUAUCUCAAUCUUUUUGGCUUUAACAUUCUAUAUUCUAAGGACACUCAUCCCUCUGGCAUUCUGUUUUAAGGUCCUUUUCAACUCAGAUAUUCUCUUUUUUGCUCUGUUAUUUUGGGUUCUAUUUUCUAAAGUUCCUUCCAGUUCUGACAUUUUUUCUUCUCUGCUCUAUGGUACUUUCAGAUUCUUAUACCAUAGAAUAUCAAAAUUGGAAGGGACUUCAUAACGGAAGAAGAAUUGAUAUCUGAACACAAUGACCAGUGGCCAUCCAGUCUUUGUUUGGACACUUCCUACGAAAGGAGACCCACCAACAACUGAAAGUAGCUUGUUCCAUUUUUAGAAAACUUUUAAUUCUUAGGGAAGAUUUCUUUCCAUCAAAUCUCACUUUUUCUCCUUUCAAAAUCUAUUAUUGCCAGUUCUGCUCUCUCUGACCAAACAGAAUGAUUUAAUCCUUCUUCCAGAUGACAGUCCUUCAAAUACUUGAAGAUAGAUAUCAUAAUCUUUUCCCUUCUUCCUCCCACUCCUGCCAGCAUUCUUAAUUAUGCUAUGGAAUUCCUCAUAUGACAUCAACUUGAGGCCCUUCACCAUGCUGGUUGCCAGGCUUAUUAAAAUAUGGUGAACACAAUAUCCCGAUGUGGUCUGACCAGGGCAAAGGACAGAGGAAUAAUCAUUUCCUUAUUUCUGGAAAUUCAUCCUUUUUUUCCUGCAAGCCAAAACUCUAUUAUGGGUAUAUCACACUGUUGAUUUAUGUCUGUUGUGGGAUAAAAUCUCUUUUUCAAAUCUAGUUAUGUUUCCUUUCCUCCAUCUUGUACUUGUUCAACUGAUUUCUUGUACUCCAGUGUAAGAUUUUACAUUUAUCUCUAUUAAAGUUCAUUUUAUUAGAUUAAGCCUUUUAGAUCCUGACUCACUGACUCAGUUUUUAGCUUAUCCUUCCUAGUCUGAGGUCAGUUGCAAAUUUGAAAAGGACAUCAUCUCUUCGUUCAUACAAAUUGCUGUCAAAAAUGCAUAAAGUCUAAUAUAGAUCCCCAGGGCUCCUUUAUCCUUCCAUUUCAGUGACAUGUAAACAGUAAGAACUAGUUCCUGAUUCUGCCCACUCAACCAGUUCCUACUCCAUCCAACUAUAUCAACCGGCUCACAUCCCUUCAUCAUCACCAGGAGAAUAGCAUAUGAUAUUUGAUCAAACUUUUUGCUAAAAUGUAGGUCAACAAUAUCUACAGCACUUCUUUUCUCAACUAGUUUAGCAACUGUCAAAAAUUAGAAUUAGUCUAGAAUGAUCUAUUCUGGAAGUGAUGUGACUACUGUUUCCUUUUAUGCAUCCUUACGAACCCAUUCUUUAAUAAUAUAAUCGAGAACUUUCAUAAGAAUGUAAGUCAAAUUUCCUUGUCUAUUGGCUGCAAAAUUUCAUUUUCUUCCCUUUUAUAAAAGUUAAGACAUUGAUAAAAUCUUUAUUUUUUAAAUAUAGGGAAAACGGAGCCAAAUUUAUAAGGAUACAAGUCAUUCCUGAAUUGAUAAAUGGUCAAAGUAUGUAAAGGGGCAAUUUUCAGUUGCAGAAAUUAAAGCUAUCUAUAGUCAUAUGAAAAAAUGCUCUAAAUCACUAUUGAUUAGAAAAAUGCA